rnacentral:tRNA from 1 species
GAGGGUAUAGCUCAAGUGGCAGAGUGCAUGCUUAGAAUGCACGAGGUUCUGAGUUUGAUCCCCAGUACCUCUU